AAUUAGUAUGAGCAGUUGUGGCUAUUUGUUCCAGAAGAGGCAGGUGCUCUUGUGUUCUCCUCUCUGCAGAUCCUCAGCACUCUUGUUAAAGGGACACGCAGACCUGUGACCUGCAAGAUUCGCAUCCUACCAUCGCUAGAAGAUACCUUGAGCCUCGUGAAGCGGAUAGAGAGGACUGGCAUUGCCGCCAUCGCAGUCCAUGGGAGGACGCGGGAGGAGCGACCUCAGCACCCUGUCAGCUGUGAAGCCAUCAAAGCCAUUGCCGAAAUCCUCUCUGUUCCUGUGAUAGCCAAUGGAGGAUCUCACGACCACAUCCAAGAGUACUUGGACAUACAGGACUUUCGACAAGCCACGGCAGCGUCUUCAGUGAUGGUGGCCCGAGCAGCCAUGUGGAACCCGUCUAUCUUCCUCAAGGAGGGUCUGCGGCCCCUGCAGGAGGUCAUGCAGAAGUACAUCCGAUACGUAUGUCUGCCGGGUUUUCAAAACAGUCAUUUCUCACUGUCUGCCACAUUCCUGCAGAAAGUGCUUUGGGAGAGCCCCCAUCCCCAGCAGCUCUUGUUGUUCCUCUCCUUUUCUUCUUAGUUCUUGUAAUGCAGCACUGGGUCUCCCCAGCUGCAAUGUGAAGAGAGGGUGCUCAGGAGAUAUGCCCCUACCAUCACUUCCUUCUAAAGCUUCCGAGGUGUAGGGGGCAUAGUCAGGACCCCUGGAUUC